rnacentral:lncRNA from 1 species
CCGUGGGAGCCCAGGGGACCCCCAGGGCCCCGUUUUCACCCUCCAGCCCCCGGCCCAGAGCUGGAGGGGCCGGAGCCCGGCCGUGCCCCAUGCGCCUCCCGGCCCGGGGGUGCGGGUCGUGCCUAGCACCCCCAGGGCAGGCCCGGUACCGGGGGGGUUACGACGGGGGCAGGCUCCGCCGCUGAAUCCGUUACACUCGGCUCGUAGGGUGGGAAUUUCCCCCGAGCCAUUACCGGAGGUCGGAGGGACCCGGACCCGGACCAUUGGUGCCCACCGGGGCACCCCCGGGCAGCCGGGGGGCAGCGGCCGCCGCCACCGGGACGCAGCCUGGACGGGGCGGCCGGGCACCGCUCGCUGCCCGCGGCACCCCCGGGGCUCCGGGCACCGUGCCCCGGGCAGGGGGCUGCCGGGGGGGCUGCCCGAGGAGCGGCUGUAACGCUUCGAGGCGGCCGCGGGGGCGCGGAGCGGGGCCCCCGUCCGCUCCCCCCCGUGCGGCCGGAACAAAAGGAUUCGCCGGGGGCUACAGGAGGGGGCUUGGACGCACCGUGCGCCCCCCGGGCUGCCGGCAACGAGGCGGGGAGGGGGGGUCCGGCCCCGAGCCCCGAGGGCGACCCCCGCUCCCCGGGGUCCCGGCGCGGACAAACCCCGGGGCUGAGCCGAGCGGCUCCGGUCGGGGUGCGGGUCCCCGGGGCCGUGCGGUGCCGAGCGGGGCGCAUCCCCCCCGGGGGCCGUGCGGUGCGGUACCGAGGAGGGUGCAGCCCCCCCGGCGGUGCCGUGCCGAGCCGUGCCGUGCAUUCUCGCGGCUCUCCAGCAGGCGCCCGGCCCUGGACAUUGUCUCUUCCUCCCGGAGGAAGGGCCCUCCCCGGCCCUCCACAAUGUGCUCUUCCAGGCGCGGCUCCCCGCGCCCCCCGCCCGGUGCGCCCGCCCCCCGCGGCCCCGCUCCCCUUCCCCCGCCGCCUCCGCCCCCUCCUCCCGCGGCCGCCGGGGCCCCCCCCCCCCCCCCCCCCCCCCGGAGUUGGGGAACGGCCCCGCCGCCGGGCCCCCGCCCCCCCCCCGCCCGCCCCCCCGGGAGCCGGGAGUGACGCGCUCCGCAGCGCCGGCCCCUCUCCCCGGGCAGCAGCU